UUGGAGGUGAUUAUGUUUUCAUCACAGUGGAAGCAGCAGCUUGGAAGCAGGCGAGCUGCAGGUGCAUGCUGCUCUUGAACUUGUUCAGCAGCUCUUCCAGCAACCUGCAGGGACGAGAAGCUACUUUACAACCUGCACACUGAGGUCGCCUAGCAACACGAGAAAGCACACAGGAGGGACGAGUGCCGGCUCUCGAUUCUGCUCGCUGAGAAGCUAUUUACUUACGGAUUAACUCAAUAACAGAAAUGAAGCACCAAGAAGUGGGCUUAAUGGUGAGAAGAUGAUUUCGUGGGGUUAACAAAGCUCAGAACUAGAACACGUGUUCUCUCCACCCCCUGGGUUCCAGAACAGUCUCCUGCGCGAAAUCACAGAGCCUGCACCACGGUUUUCAUGUCUGCGGACUGAGCAGCCAAAUGCAAAGGCGGAUGGACUUCAGCUACGGGGAGUGGAGGAGCAAAGACCUACAGCGCUUCCGCUACCCCAGCUGACGGGGGUAGAGCAUUUCUGAGAUUUGCCUGGCCUACAUUUUGUCUCAGGUGUCAGGUGAACAGCCACAGUAUCUCUCAAAGCACAGAUUUCAAGCCGUGCCUAAGGAUGAGAAAAGGAAAAAGUGAGGGGAACUGCAUCAAUUAUUAAACUGAAACAAGCGAUGAGCAGAUAGUCUCAGCCUGCUUACUGCAGAGACGGUUGACAGAAGACUGCCAGCACGUGGUUCCCCACCACCUGCCACCUACUAACUAUGAACAGACUUUCUACAACACUCCAAAGAAAUCAGCUAUGACAAACUAGUUUUUUACUAGUUUAAAAUUAACUAACUCAAAAUUAACUCAAAGUCAAGUAUGACUCUGUGAAGGCAGGGAGUCAGAUUUGUUAUAAAAAGGUUCAACCUAUACAGGGAUUUUCCAGAAAUCUGUAUUCACUACCUAACCAGUAAUGUUUCCUUUAGUAUGAUUGUGAGAGGAAGCAAAAUUUGAAACAUUGUCCCUGGAUUAUUUAAGGAAACAGACUGGCUUACUUUCUUAUACCUAUGCCCUUUUGGGUACACUGACUUUAAUCUCAAAUCUAAAACAAAGCUCUGCAGAUUUAAUCACCACCGGCUUU